rnacentral:rRNA from 1 species
CGUGCCAGCAGCCGCGGUAAUACGAAGGGGGCUAGCGUUGCUCGGAAUCACUGGGCGUAAAGGGUGCGUAGGCGGGUUUUUAAGUCAGGGGUGAAAUCCUGGAGCUCAACUCCAGAACUGCCUUUGAUACUGAAGAUCUUGAGUCCGGGAGAGGUGAGUGGAACUGCGAGUGUAGAGGUGAAAUUCGUAGAUAUUCGCAAGAACACCAGUGGCGAAGGCGGCUCACUGGCCCGGUACUGACGCUGAGGCACGAAAGCGUGGGGAGCAAACAGGAUUAGAUACCCUGGUAGUCCACGCCGUAAACGAUG